AUAUAUAUAAACUUCAUUUGCAAUGGAGAAGUCGCUUACUGUUCUCUACAUUAUCUAAGGAACACAAAGGACUAUCUUCCUAAAUACUACUUUAAAGAUUUGUCUGAAACUUUAUUGCUCUUUACACGGCCCUAGAAUCCAUCAACAAGUAGAUUAAUCAUUAGUAUUUAAUUUGUUCAAGGACAGUGAUGAAGAACAAAUGGGAAAGAAAACUCUUUGGUCCCAUCUCUGGUUCAAUCUACUAUAAAAAUACUUUGGUGGGAAGUGAGCUUGGUUAGAAUAAUCAUCCUCCUGACGUGUCAUGUUUCAAUGUCAGUACCACGGUUGCUGCCCCUAACGACUUCUCUCCUGCUAACAAACUUGGCCAGGGUGGCUUUGGUUCAGUUUACGAGACAUGAUCUAAGGGUCAGCUAUCAAGUGGACAGGAAAUUGCUGUAAAAAGACAAUCCAAAAACUCAGGCAAGGAAUAGAAGAAAUUAAAAAAUGAAGUUAUGUUGAUUGCGAAGCGUCAACAUGGAAAUUUAGUGAAACUUCUCGGAUGCUGCAUUAAGGGAGCAGAGUAAGUGCUAAUUUAUGAAUAUUUGCCAAACAAAAGCUUGGAUUCAUUUCUUUUUGGUGUGGAUGUUAUGGAAAGAAGAUAGAGUGUUGGAUAUAGUUGAUUCAUAACUAGAAGGAUCAUAUUCACCCCAUGAAGUCUUGAGAUGCACUCAAAUUGGGCUCUUAUGUGUUCCAGAAAAGGCUAUGGACAGACCAACUGUGGCAGAAGUUGUACUGAUGUUGAGUAGUUAAACAGCUCUUCCCUCUCCAAAACAAUCAGCUUUCAUUUUUAGAAC